rnacentral:misc_RNA from 1 species
GAUGAAGAACGUAGCGAAAUGCGAUAAGUAAUGUGAAUUGCAGAAUUCAGUGAAUCAUCGAAUCUUUGAACGCACCUUGCGCUCCUUGGUAUUCCGAGGAGCAUGCCUGUUUGAGUGUCAUGAAAACCCUCAACCUUAGAUUGGUUAAAACCUUUCUUUGGCUUGGAUUUGGACGUUUGCCGAUGAUAAGUCGGCUCGUCUUAAAAGUAAUAGCUGGAUCUGUCUCGCGACAUGGUUUGACUUGGCGUAAUAAGUAUUUCGCUAAGGACAUCUUCGGAUGGCCGCGUUGCAAGACUAAAGACCGCUUUCUAAUUCAUUGAUCUUCGGAUUAAUAUUCUUGACAUCUGGCCUCAAAUCAGGUAGGACUACUCGCUGAACUUAAGCAUAUCAAUAAGCGGAGGA